AAACUCGACAAAACAGAGAACUGAGAAGUAAAUAAAUAAAAAAACAAAUACCAGUUUAUUUUAGACGCUGACUGCGGAAGGCCUACAACUUAUACAGGUCGCUUACAGUAAAAUUUGCAAAAAUGUCCAAGUCAAGAACUGGUAACGAUACAGGAACCUGCAGGGAAAUGGAAGAAAAAUCUCCAACUUUGGAAGAAAAAUUGGGAAAAUAUAAAACUGAAAAUGAAAAGUUAAAAAAUGAAAAACAGAGUUUGUUAUCAAGAUUAAGUCAACUUGCUGGGGUUCAAAUGACAGAGAAUAACCCUAAUGUAACAGAUCUGAGUGACAUUAAUCGUCCCAUCAACCUUGGCGAAGAUUUCUCUGAGAUAUAUGACAAUGAGUAUACAGAUGUUCUUGUGUAUUUAAAAAGAAAAUCUGAUGAUGUUAAAAACAUGCAAGACAAGUUGCUGAAAACAGCAGAGAUUUGCCUCAAGUUCUGUGAAGACUUUGAAAAGAAGCAGUUUAAAGAGAUACUGGGAGUCUUUCACUUACCAGAUGAUCGACAGUCACUACCUAAAGGUGUUAUCAAACAUGUGAAAGAUUUAAGGACUUCACUUCUUCAUAAAACAGAAGGCGAUCUUGAAAAGGAAUUUUUUCAGAGUUUGACACCACAUCAAAUGCAGAAUUCCUUACUGGCCUGUAAUGAUGACAGUGUGAAGAAAUACAUAAGCAAGUGCCUGUCGUUCUUCUGGAGGGCCUGUAUCCAAACACCACCACUGUAUUUCGACUUCAGUGUAAAACCAGGCACACCUUUUGAUAAUGCAGUACACAGGAAAUGCACAGUUAAUGGACCAAUGGUUACAUACACGGUAUGGCCUGUGGCUUAUUUACAUGAAAAAGGCCCCCUCCUUGUGAAAGGUGUGGUGCAGUGUGAAAAGCAGGAAAAGACACCAGUGGAGGGUUUAAAGCCAAAAGAUUCUAAAGAUGGCGUGAAUUUACAUACAGGGCAGACAUCUUUACCUGGGAGAGUUACAGAUAUUCCGGUGACUCAUAUUAAUAGUAGAGGCACAGAGCCAACAAAAGAAAAAAAUGUAGAGAAAAGUCUAGCAUCAAAACCUGAAUCUACGUCUAGAGAGAAGAAAUGACAACAAUCUCGUGAUCAGCAGUGAUACAUUGAUUUGUAGCAGAUUUAAGAGAUGUGGUGUUACAUUUAUGUAAAUACAAGACUUUACCUUCCCAUCCAAUGAGCCUAAAACAGCAUUUACUUUGAUAUGAGAGAAGUCAAUUAAAGAUCAGGAGUGUUUUAGAUUAUUUAGUGAUAUAUCUAGCCCUAUUAAAAAUUUCCUGUUGAUAUUUUUUGGCAGGCAUUGUUUUAAUAAAAAAGUCAUGUUUUAUUGUAUGAUUCUUUUAAAAUGCAAAUAUUUUCAAAUUUUGAUGAUCUCAAAUGAAAUUUUGACUUACAAUUGUAUUAGAUCUUAUGAUAAAAUACAUACUACAUGUAGGUAUGACAUUUGUAUACUGAAUGAGUCGAACUUACAACAAUAUUGUCUCUAAAAAAACGACAAGCUACAUGUAUAUCUAAGAAUGAAUCUGUCCUAGUGAUGUUUCAGACAGAUUGUUUGUUAGAUACAGGGACAGAAUCCACUCAAUCUGAUGUACUUUGGUUUUAGAGAAGUAAAAAAAUACAUGUUUCACAUUAUGAUACAUGUACAUGUAAUUACACACUUUUGUGAUAUCCAACUGAUAUACAUACCGAAGUGAUUUCUUUUGUGGUGUAUGUCUUAUUUAUGAUAUUUAUUUAAACAUUUUAUGAAAGUCUAUUUAUUUAAAUUUUUGCUGCUUAGACAUCUUU
rnacentral:misc_RNA from 1 species